CCUACGGGAGGCUGCAGUGGGGAAUAUUGCACAAUGGGCGCAAGCCUGAUGCAGCCAUGCCGCGUGUGUGAAGAAGGCCUUCGGGUUGUAAAGCACUUUCAGCGGGGAGGAAGGCGUUAAGGUUAAUAACCUUGUCGAUUGACGUUACCCGCAGAAGAAGCACCGGCUAACUCCGUGCCAGCAGCCGCGGUAAUACGGAGGGUGCAAGCGUUAAUCGGAAUUACUGGGCGUAAAGCGCACGCAGGCGGUCUGUCAAGUCGGAUGUGAAAUCCCCGGGCUCAACCUGGGAACUGCAUUCGAAACUGGCAGGCUAGAGUCUUGUAGAGGGGGGUAGAAUUCCAGGCGUAGCGGUGAAAUGCGUAGAGAUCUGGAGGAAUACCGGUGGCGAAGGCGGCCCCCUGGACAAAGACUGACGCUCAGGUGCGAAAGCGUGGGGAGCAAACAGGAGUAGAUACCCCAGUAGUC
rnacentral:rRNA from 1 species